UUGAUUACACAAGCACGCAAAAAGGAAGAGAGGGGAAUACAAAUAGAGAGACCCUAAAAUUCAAGAAGAAGAAUCAGAAUCAAUCGAAUUGUAGAAUCGAAUCCAAUAGAUAAACCCUAAAAGAAACAGCUCAAAUGAGACUCGCCGGAGAAUUCGCCGGCAGCGAAUAGCCGGUUAGGGUUCCGGCGAUUGAAACGCUAGCACAUCGAAGGAGGAGAGAGAGCGGGAGAGUUGUGCAUUGAGAAUUGUAUGUUGGUAAGGGGGCGUUGAGAGACUGCAGGUUUUAGGGAGGAAAAUAUUAAGGCGGUAGAGCCAGGCAAAGAGAGGAGUAGAUUUUUGGGAGAGAUGGAGCUUUG
rnacentral:misc_RNA from 1 species